rnacentral:snRNA from 9 species
AUACUUACCUGGAGUAGGGAUACCGUGAUCAUGCAGGCGGUUCCCCCAGGGUGAGGCUGCUCCAUAGCCGUGUGUGUGACUUGCACACACACACAUUUUUUUUUGUAUAAUUUUAGAUUUACA